rnacentral:rRNA from 1 species
AUACAUGCAAGUCGAGCGGACAGAUGGGAGCUUGCUCCCUGAUGUUAGCGGCGGACGGGUGAGUAACACGUGGGUAACCUGCCUGUAAGACUGGGAUAACUCCGGGAAACCGGGGCUAAUACCGGAUGGUUGUUUGAACCGCAUGGUUCAAACAUAAAAGGUGGCUUCGGCUACCACUUACAGAUGGACCCGCGGCGCAUUAGCUAGUUGGUGAGGUAACGGCUCACCAAGGCAACGAUGCGUAGCCGACCUGAGAGGGUGAUCGGCCACACUGGGACUGAGACACGGCCCAGACUCCUACGGGAGGCAGCAGUAGGGAAUCUUCCGCAAUGGACGAAAGUCUGACGGAGCAACGCCGCGUGAGUGAUGAAGGUUUUCGGAUCGUAAAGCUCUGUUGUUAGGGAAGAACAAGUACCGUUCGAAUAGGGCGGUACCUUGACGGUACCUAACCAGAAAGCCACGGCUAACUACGUGCCAGCAGCCGCGGUAAUACGUAGGUGGCAAGCGUUGUCCGGAAUUAUUGGGCGUAAAGGGCUCGCAGGCGGUUUCUUAAGUCUGAUGUGAAAGCCCCCGGCUCAACCGGGGAGGGUCAUUGGAAACUGGGGAACUUGAGUGCAGAAGAGGAGAGUGGAAUUCCACGUGUAGCGGUGAAAUGCGUAGAGAUGUGGAGGAACACCAGUGGCGAAGGCGACUCUCUGGUCUGUAACUGACGCUGAGGAGCGAAAGCGUGGGGAGCGAACAGGAUUAGAUACCCUGGUAGUCCACGCCGUAAACGAUGAGUGCUAAGUGUUA